rnacentral:rRNA from 1 species
GAGAUGGAUUGGUGCCUUCGGGAACUCUGACACAGGUGGCUGCAUGGCUGUCGUCAGCUCGUGUCGUGAGAUGUUGGGUUAAGUCCCGUAACGAGCGCAACCCUUGUCCUUAGUUACCAGCACGUCAUGGUGGGCACUCUAAGGAGACUGCCGGUGACAAACCGGAGGAAGGUGGGGAGUGACGUCAAGUCAUCAUGGCCCUUACGGCCUGGGCUACACACGUGCUACAAUGGUCGGUACAAAGGGUUGCCAAGCCGCGAGGUGGAGCUAAUCCCAUAAAACCGAAUCGUAGUCCGGAUCGCAGUCUGCAACUCGACUGCGUGAAGUCGGAAUCGCUAGUAAUCGUGAAUCAGAAUGUCACGGUGAAUACGUUCCCGGGCCUU